rnacentral:rRNA from 1 species
AUUGAACGCUGGCGGCAGGCCUAACACAUGCAAGUCGAACGAGUGGCGGACGGGUGUAUAAUGUCUGGGAAACUGCCUGUUGGAGGGGGAUAACUACUGGAAACGGUAGCUAAUACCGCAUACCAUCAGAUGUGCCCAGAUGUGAUUAGCUAGUUGGUGGGGUAACGGCUCACCACGGCGACGAUCCCUAGCUGGUCUGAGAGGAGGACCAGCAACACUGGAACUGAGACACGGUCCAGAGUCCUACGGGAGGCAGCAGUGGGGAACAUUGGACAAGGGGCGAAAGCCGGAUGCAGCCAGGCCGCGUGUAUGAAGAAGGCCUUCGGGUUGUAAAGUACUUUCAGCGGGGAGGCGUUACCCGCAGAAGAAGCACCGGCUAACUCCGUGCCAGCAGCCGCGGUAAUUC